rnacentral:misc_RNA from 1 species
CCGUAAUUCACCCUAAAAUAAAAUAAAUUAAAAAAAAAGAAAAAAGGUAGCGCUGCCAUUAAGCUAAGAAAUAUGCACUAGCGUAUAGAAGUGAUGGCAUUGAUUCUUUUGAGUUUUGGAUCUAAUUGAGGAAAUGGAAGAGUAUCCGGAGGAGUUACGGACUCCGCCGGUCACCCUGAUUGCGUUGGUGGGAUGUCCACAGCAUCACCCCCUCAUCUCCACCCAUCUCCACUCCGAGCAGCCCCCAAUCAACACCCUCGCCUUGCCUGACCUCUCUAAGAUCUCUCUUCUCUUGUCCUCCGCCGAUAAGAAUUCUCUUCCUCCUCCCGAUCCAUCCUCAAUUCCUACCGCUGGAAUUCUUAAGAGGGAUUGGCUUCUCAAGCACCGUACUAGGGUUCCCGCUGUUGUCGCCGCUCUCUUUAGUUCCGAUCAUGUCUCUGGGGAUCCCGCUCAGUGGCUUCAGCUUUGCACUGACCUUGAAAACCUCAAAGCUCUGAUUCGUCCAAAGAACAUCAAAUUGGUUGUGAUUGUGGUGCACUCUUCUUCCAUGGAUGAUAUCAGUGAAGAUGGAAUGAUUGCACUUUGUAAGCGUGCUGAAUUGGAUUCCAAGUGCCUUGUUAUCUUCAACCCUAGUGAUUCUUCACAGCUGAAACAAUCCCUCAACAAGUUGGGCAGCACAUUUGCUGAAUUAGCAAAUACAUAUUACAGAGAUGAAGGGCGGAGAAUUAAAACUCGUGUUGAAAAGAAGAGUUUCAAUUCUAAUGAGUUGAAUAUUCGCUAUUGCUUCAAAGUUGCUGUAUAUGCUGAGUUUCGGAGAGACUGGGUUGAAGCUUUGAGGUUUUAUGAGGAUGCAUAUCAUACACUGAGGGAGAUGAUUGGGACUGCAAAUAGGUUGCCAGUGAUUCAGCGAUUGGUUGAGAUAAAAACUGUUGCUGAGCAACUUCUAUUACUUUUCCACCAUGUAAUAACAAGGUUGAUAUUUUAAAAUGAAGUUGCUCAGCAACAGUUCCAACAUUUUGCUUCUUACAGGAAGCUUUUAGGAGCAGCAGAAGCUAUAUUUCUUCACUGGG